AUGCUUUAACAAACACAAAUAUGGGUGAGGUGGAGAUUGAACAGAUCAAGUCCUCGGGGAAGAGCAAGAAGGGCAAGCAGUCCAGAUCAAAGAAGCUUUUCAAGGCUUGCCUUGCAGAUUUUGUAAAGGAGGUUUUGAAGCCAUCAUGGAGACAGGGUAGCAUGAGCAAGGAAACAUUUAAGACUGUUGUGAAGAAGACCAUUGAUAAAGUGUCAGAAGCAAUGAAGAGCCACCAGAUACCCAAGUCUAAGGCAAAGAUAAAUCAGUACAUUGACUCGUCACAGCGGAAAUUAACAAAACUUGUGAUGGGUUAUGUGGAUAAAAAUGCCAAAGGGUAAAAGUUGACAUUAUGUUGAUGAUUUUGACUGGAUGUACUUCCUCAUCUUUGGGACUUCUGUGCCAUUGGAGCUGCAGAACUUGAUUGAUUUGAUUCCAAACUGCAGAGCUGUGAGGAACUGAGGAUAGAUUGAAAAAUUUUCAGUGGCAUUAGUAGAUUGCUGGUAUUUGAUGAAUCUUGUACCUCCUAGCACAAAUAUGAAAGUCCAUGACAAGAUGAAAUUUAUUGGUGGAUUAUUUCCCAACCUUAGCGAAAGUUCUGAGGGAGCUCCAAAAUGUGUAUGUAAUGUGCAUCCUUAAAUAUAAAUGUUGUGCCUUUUAUUUUGUCUGUGGCUAUUCUGUUCCUGUAGUAUUCUCAUUGUAAAUUGCCUGAUAUCUAUGGUCACAUCUCAUGACAGA
rnacentral:misc_RNA from 1 species